UACUGGGCCCAGUCCCAGGACUAUCCAAGUGUGAAGCCAACACCUUUUCACAGCAACUCCAAGUUCCAUGGGCUGACUGGACUCCACUGGGAGUUCUUGAUGUCUCUCGUGUGGUUGUGUGAGAUAGUGGCUGGGACUGGACUCAUCUGAAGGCUUGACUGGGCUGGAUGCCCAAGAUAGCCCACUUUUAGACAGAGGUGGCUGGCAGUUGAUGCUGACUGUCAGCUGGGGACUCAGCUGAGAGUGUUAACUGGAGUCCCUAGACGUGGCUUCUCCACAUGGCUUGGGCUUCUCAUGGAAGGGCACCUGGAUUCUGAGAGAGAGCAUCCCAAGAGACACAAGUGGAAAUGAUAAAGCUUCUUAUGACGUAGACUGGAGGUACUGAGACUUCACUUUUGCUACAUUAGAAGGUUUGAUGCUGACAUUUUAUGAUUUCACAACUUGGAUCCUCUGUCCUCUGAUACUGAAUCAGAUAGUAGUUUAUGGAGCUGAGCAGAGAGCCAGCUGGUCCUGGGCACAGAGGAGGCUGUGUUCCAUGCUGAAGACAAGAACAUAUGGUGGACGUACCAUCCUAACUAUCUGGGAAGGGAGCUUCGUGGCUACAUGGGAGUUAUCAUCUACCAGUGCCGGCUGCAUCCUGGCUGUGCCCACCUCUGGACUCUGAAUCUCUGCACCUCAGUACCCCCAACCCCAACACGACUGUGAUGUUAGGCAUAUAUUAGGCAUGUGAAGAUGAGAAAGAGAAGAUAUAGCUCCCAUGUUUAUCUCCAUGAGAAGAUAAGCCAUAGGGAGAGAGAAAGACUGCUGUGCACGAGAGGGAGUGUCAAAUGCCAAAUGGAUGUCAACAGUCAGGGUGUGCU
rnacentral:lncRNA from 1 species